GAUGAACGCUGGCGGCGUGCCUAAUACAUGCAAGUCGAGCGAACAGACGAGGAGCUUGCUCCUCUGACGUUAGCGGCGGACGGGUGAGUAACACGUGGAUAACCUACCUAUAAGACUGGCAUAACUUCGGGAAACCGGAGCUAAUACCGGAUAAUAUAUUGAACCGCAUGGUUCAAUAGUGAAAGACGGUUUUGCUGUCACUUAUAGAUGGAUCCGCGCCUCAUUAGCUAGUUGGUAAGGUAACGGCUUACCAAGGCAACGAUGCGUAGCCGACCUGAGAGGGUGAUCGGAGACACUGGAACUGAGACACGGACCAGACUACUACGAGAGGCAGCAGUAGGGAAUCUUCCGCAAUGGGCGAAAGCCUGACGGAGCAACGACGCGUGAGUGAUGAAGGUCUUCGGAUCGUAAAACUCUGUUAUUAGGGAAGAACAAAUGUGUAAGUAACUAUGCACGUCUUGACGGUACCUAAUCAGAAAGCCACGGCUAACUACGUG
rnacentral:rRNA from 1 species